rnacentral:rRNA from 1 species
AUUAACGCUGGCGGCGUGCCUAAUCCAUGCAAGUCGAGCGAACAGACGAGGAGCUUGCUCCUCUGACGUUAGCGGCGGACGGGUGAGUAACACGUGGAUAACCUACCUAUAAGACUGGGAUAACUUCGGGAAACCGGAGCUAAUACCGGAUAAUAUAUUGAACCGUAUGGUUCAAUAGUGAAAGACGGUUUUGCUGUCACUUAUAGAUGGAUCCGCGCCGCAUUAGCUAGUUGGUAAGGUAACGGCUUACCAAGGCAACGAUGCGUAGCCGACCUGAGAGGGUGAUCGGCCACACUGGAACUGAGACACGGUCCAGACUCCUACGGGAGGCAGCAGUAGGGAAUCUUCCGCAAUGGGCGAAAGCCUGACGGAGCAACGCCGCGUGAGUGAUGAAGGUCUUCGGAUCGUAAAACUCUGUUAUUAGGGAAGAACAAAUGUGUAAGUAACUAUGCACGUCUUGACGGUACCUAAUCAGAAAGCCACGGCUAACUACGUG